rnacentral:rRNA from 1 species
AACGGAGGAGCACGAAGGUUAGCUAAUCCUGGUCGGACAUCAGGAGGUUAGUGCAAUGGCAUAAGCUAGCUUGACUGCGAGCGUGACGGCGCGAGCAGGUGCGAAAGCAGGUCAUAGUGAUCCGGGGGUUCUGAAUGGAAGGGCCAUCGCUCAACGGAUAAAAGGUACUCCGGGGAUAACAGGCUGAUACCGCCCAAGAGUUCAUAUCGACGGCGGUGUUUGGCACCUCGAUGUCGGCUCAUCACAUCCUGGGGCUGAAGUAGGUCCCAAGGGUAUGGCUGUUCGCCAUUUAAAGUGGUACGCGAGCUGGGUUUAGAACGUCGUGAGACAGUUCGGUCCCUAUCUGCCGUGGGCGCUGGAGAAUUGAGGGGGGCUGCUCCUAGUACGAGAGGACCGGAGUGGACGCAUCACUGGUGUUCGGGUUGUCAUGCCAAUGG